GCAAUUAUAACUCAGUUGGUAGAGUGAUAGGUUGUGGUCCUAACAGUCACGGGUUCAAAUCCCGUUAUUUGCC
rnacentral:tRNA from 1 species